rnacentral:misc_RNA from 1 species
UUUCCGUAGGUGAACCUGCGGAAGGAUCAUUAUUGAAUUUUAAUGCGGAGUUGGUUGUUGCUGGCCUUGGGAUUUUUUUUAUUAAUUGUUCCAGGCACUUGUGCACACCUUCUCUUUCAUCCACACACACCUGUGCACUUGUGAGACAGACUGUGGGGACUUUAUUGAACCCCGUCUGUCUACUUCAUUUACACACACUCUAUUUAAUUUAAACUGAGUGUAAUUGAUGUAACGCAUCUAAUACUAAGUUUCAACAACGGAUCUCUUGUCUCUCGCAUCGAUGAAGAACGCAGC